rnacentral:lncRNA from 1 species
GCUAACACACAUAUGAAAAGCUAAGUAAACUAGGGUUGAAUCGCUUAGGAGAUGUUCAUGUCCCCAGUAGAGUCGCCAUCUGUCACACCUAGGAAAAUGAGAACACGACCUCCCAAAGCGCAAUCGCACGCUCGCGAGAUGGACUUAACAGAGUCACCAUCGAAAUUUAUUUAUUCCCAAAGAAGGAAAGGGGAAAUAUCG